rnacentral:rRNA from 1 species
GAUAAACGCUGGCGGCGUGCCUAAUACAUGCAAGUCGAGCGAACGGACGAGAAGCUUGCUUCUCUGAUGUUAGCGGCGGACGGGUGAGUAACACGUGGAUAACCUACCUAUAAGACUGGGAUAACUUCGGGAAACCGGAGCUAAUACCGGAUAAUAUUUUGAACCGCAUGGUUCAAAAGUGAAAGACGGUCUUGCUGUCACUUAUAGAUGGAUCCGCGCUGCAUUAGCUAGUUGGUAAGGUAACGGCUUACCAAGGCAACGAUGCAUAGCCGACCUGAGAGGGUGAUCGGCCACACUGGAACUGAGACACGGUCCAGACUCCUACGGGAGGCAGCAGUAGGGAAUCUUCCGCAAUGGGCGAAAGCCUGACGGAGCAACGCCGCGUGAGUGAUGAAGGUCUUCGGAUCGUAAAACUCUGUUAUUAGGGAAGAACAUAUGUGUAAGUAACUGUGCACAUCUUGACGGUACCUAAUCAGAAAGCCACGGCUAACUACGUGCCAGCAGCCGCGGUAAUACGUAGGUGGCAAGCGUUAUCCGGAAUUAUUGGGCGUAAAGCGCGCGUAGGCGGUUUUUUAAGUCUGAUGUGAAAGCCCACGGCUCAACCGUGGAGGGUCAUUGGAAACUGGAAAACUUGAGUGCAGAAGAGGAAAGUGGAAUUCCAUGUGUAGCGGUGAAAUGCGCAGAGAUAUGGAGGAACACCAGUGGCGAAGGCGACUUUCUGGUCUGUAACUGACGCUGAUGUGCGAAAGCGUGGGGAUCAAACAGGAUUAGAUACCCUGGUAGUCCACGCCGUAAACGAUGAGUGCUAAGUGUUAGGGGGUUUCCGCCCCUUAGUGCUGCAGCUAACGCAUUAAGCACUCCGCCUGGGGGGUACGACCGCAAGGUUGAAACUCAAAGGAAUUGACGGGGACCCGCACAAGCGGUGGAGCAUGUGGUUUAAUUCGAAGCAACGCGAAGAACCUUACCAAAUCUUGACAUCCUUUGACAACUCUAGAGAUAGAGCCUUCCCCUUCGGGGGACAAAGUGACAGGUGGUGCAUGGUUGUCGUCAGCUCGUGUCGUGAGAUGUUGGGUUAAGUCCCGCAACGAGCGCAACCCUUAAGCUUAGUUGCCAUCAUUAAGUUGGGCACUCUAAGUUGACUGCCGGUGACAAACCGGAGGAAGGUGGGGAUGACGUCAAAUCAUCAUGCCCCUUAUGAUUUGGGCUACACACGUGCUACAAUGGACAAUACAAAGGGCAGCGAAACCGCGAGGUCAAGCAAAUCCCAUAAAGUUGUUCUCAGUUCGGAUUGUAGUCUGCAACUCGACUACAUGAAGCUGGAAUCGCUAGUAAUCGUAGAUCAGCAUGCUACGGUGAAUACGUUCCCGGGUCU